rnacentral:rRNA from 1 species
UACGUAGGGUGCGAGCGUUGUCCGGAAUUAUUGGGCGUAAAGGGCUCGUAGGCGGUCUGUCACGUCGGGAGUGAAAACACGGGGCUUAACCCCGUGCCUGCUUCCGAUACGGGCAGACUAGAGGUAUGCAGGGGGAGAACGGAAUUCCUGGUGUAGCGGUGAAAUGCGCAGAUAUCGGGAGGAACACCGGUGGCGAAGGCGGUUCUCUGGGCCUUACCUGACGCUGAGGAGCGAAAGCGUGGGGAGCGAACAGG